GCGGGCGUGAUGGAAUGGUAGACAUAUCGGACUUAAAAUCCGAAGGCCCUAGCGCCGUGUGGGUUCGAGUCCCACCGCCCGCACCA
rnacentral:tRNA from 3 species